rfam:Picea glauca, whole genome shotgun sequence.
ACAUGCCUACAAAUUAGAAUUAAUGCACCAUAUCCCAUUAGAACUCCAUAAUUAAGCACGCUCGAGCUAGAGUAGUACUGGGAGGGGUGAUCGCCCGGGAAGUCCUAGUAUUUUACAUGCC